AGAUUAGCCMUGCAUGUCUAAGUAUAAGCAACUUGUACUGUGAAACUGCGAAUGGCUCAUUAAAUCAGUUAUCGUUUAUUUGAUAGUACCUUACUACAUGGAUACCUGUGGUAAUUCUAGAGCUAAUACAUGCUAAAAACCCCGACUUCAGGAAGGGGUGUAUUUAUUAGAUAAAAAACCAACGCCCUUCGGGGCUCCUUGGUGAAUCAUAAUAACUUAACGAAUCGCAUGGCCUUGCGCCGGCGAUGGUUCAUUCAAAUUUCUGCCCUAUCAACUUUCGAUGGUAGGAUAGUGGCCUACCAUGGUGGCAACGGGUAACGGGGAAUUAGGGUUCGAUUCCGGAGAGGGAGCCUGAGAAACGGCUACCACAUCCAAGGAAGGCAGCAGGCGCGCAAAUUACCCAAUCCCGAUACGGGGAGGUAGUGACAAUAAAUACUGAUACGGGGCUCUUUUGGGUCUCGUAAUUGGAAUGAGAACAAUUUAAAUCCCUUAACGAGGAACAAUUGGAGGGCAAGUCUGGUGCCAGCAGCCGCGGUAAUUCCAGCUCCAAUAGCGUAUAUUAAAGUUGUUGCAGUUAAAAAGCUCGUAGUUGAACCUUGGGCCUGGCUGGCCGGUCCGCCUCACCGCGAGUACUGGUCCGGCUGGGCCUUUCCUUCUGGGGAACCUCAUGGCCUUCACUGGCUGUGGGGGGAACCAGGACUUUUACUGUGAAAAAAUUAGAGUGUUCAAAGCAGGCCUUUGCUCGAAUACAUUAGCAUGGAAUAAUAGAAUAGGACGUGUGGUUCUAUUUUGUUGGUUUCUAGGACCGCCGUAAUGAUUAAUAGGGAUAGUCSGGGGGCGUCAGUAUUCAGCUGUCAGAGGUGAAUUCUUGGAUUUGCUGAAGACUAACUACUGCGAAAGCAUUCGCCAAGGAUGUUUUCMUUAAUCAGGGAACGAAAGUUAGGGGAUCRAAGAMGAUCARAUACCGUCGUADUCUUAACCMUAAACUAUGCSACUAGGGAUCGRAMGGGAUYYUWUAAUGACCCSUUCGGCMCUUAMRAGGAAAUCAAGUUUUUGGKUUYKGGGGGGAGWWKGSCSMSAAGGCWKAAMWCUUAAAGAAAUUGACGAAGGCACCCACAVGGCGA
rnacentral:rRNA from 1 species